CGCUCUUCAUCCCUGUUGUGUUUAGUGUCAUGUGUUUCUUGAUGGUCUUCAUGUCGCUGUACUCUGACCCAGUUAACACAGGAAUUGGAUUUGCUGUUUCCUUCACUGGCAUCCCUGCUUACUACAUCUUCAUCGCUUUCGACCGCAGACCAAAGUGGCUUCAGAAGGCUUUUCAUUUGUCAAACAGAACUCUGCAGAUCAUCCUGGAGGUCAUCCCCGCUGAGAUGUGACAUCAUCACCCAGUGACGCUGGGAGAGGCUCCACCCCCUCCUAAACCUUAACUGCAGUCAGCAGCAUCAGAAAAUGACUGUCUGACUGAUGGGCAUGUUUUUAAAUUCACGUUCAGACAGUGGGAUUUUGUGCAUGUGUGGGAAGUAAAAUGUUUCAUUUCAA